CCUACGGGAGGCAGCAGUGGGGAAUAUUGCGCAAUGGGCGAAAGCCUGACGCAGCGACGCAGCGUGAGGGAUGAAGGUCUUCGGAUCGUAAACCUCUGUCAGAAGGGAAGAACGGUCACUGUGGUAAUCAGCAGUGAAUUGACGGUACCUGCCAAGGAAGCGACGGCUAACUCCGUGCCAGCAGCCGCGGUAAUACGGAGGGUGCGAGCGUUAAUCGGAAUUACUGGGCGUAAAGCGCUCGUAGGCGGUAUGUCAAGUCUAGGGUGAAAUCCCCGCGCUCAACGCGGGAACUGCCUUUGAAACUGGCAGACUGGAGUGUGAGAGAGGAUAGUGGAAUUCCAGGUGUAGCGGUGAAAUGCGUAGAUAUCUGGAAGAACAUCAAUGGCGAAGGCAGCUAACUGGCACAUAACUGACGCUGAGGAGCGAAAGCGUGGGUAGCAAACAGGAUUAGAUACCCUAGUAGUC
rnacentral:rRNA from 1 species